rnacentral:tRNA from 1 species
GCUGCGAUGGCCGAGUCGUUAAGGCGAGUGAUUUGAACUUAUUUCAUCAUCACUUGGUGUUUCACCGCGUAGGUUCAAAUCCUGCUCGCAGCG